rnacentral:rRNA from 1 species
GACGAACGCUGGCGGCGUGCUUAACACAUGCAAGUCGAACGGAAAGGCCCUGCAUUUGUGGGGUGCUCGAGUGGCGAACGGGUGAGUAACACGUGAGUAACCUGCCCUUGACUUUGGGAUAACUUCAGGAAACUGGGGCUAAUACCGGAUAGGAGCUCCUGAUGCAUGGUGGGGGUUGGAAAGUUUCGGCGGUUGGGGAUGGACUCGCGGCUUAUCAGCUUGUUGGUGGGGUAGUGGCUUACCAAGGCUUUGACGGGUAGCCGGCCUGAGAGGGUGACCGGCCACAUUGGGACUGAGAUACGGCCCAGACUCCUACGGGAGGCAGCAGUGGGGAAUAUUGCACAAUGGGCUGAAGCCUGAUGCAGCAACGCCGCGUGCGGGAUGACGGCCUUCGGGUUGUAAACCGCUUUCGCCUGUGACGAAGCGUGAGUGACGGUAAUGGGUAAAGAAGCACCGGCUAACUACGUG